AUUAUCAUAAGAUGUUGAUGAAGUGUGCACAGUCUAACGGAAGUCGCGGUUAUAACAAAGGUUUGUACACCGAAAACAGGAAACAGCUGACAUUACUUAUAUCACGAUGGCAUGACUUAACAUGUUUUAGCAACAAGACGACCAUCGCCUGUUCUGAAAUUGCAACACGUCGCUUCCAGAUCUCGGCACUGUAUUCUCUGAAAUGUCUGGAUUUAUACAAACCAAUGAUUCCUUUAUAAACACGUCUAAUCGGCUGACUCUACAAGAAGUGAACGAUAUCUAUGCUUCCUACAGGAUUGGUGGCGUUGUCUUUUCGUGCCUAUUUAUAAUCUUGGGGGCAAUUGGGAACAGCCAUGUAAUAUACAUCUAUGCCUUUAAGUUCCCGAAAUCUAACCACCGACUAUAUCUUUUAUGUCUCACCGUUCUUGAUUGGACCACGUGCAUGGUUACCAUGCCUUUGACUGUGGUUGACCUGAUAUAUCCGUUAAUGGCGGAUAACCUUAUCGCACUUUGUAAGAUUAGAAGAUUUCUGAACUACUUCCUUGGCUGUGCUGGCUGGAUUCAUAAUGCUUAUUAUUGCUUAUGACAGGUACUUCAAAAUAUGUCGUCCUUUGCGCGUGCAGAUUUCCUAUAAGAGGGCAAAAUUGUUGUGUUCAAUCGCCAUUUUGAUAUCAUUCCUGUUUACAUGGCCGGCUGGAGUGUUAUUUGGUAGUCGAACUUUUCCUACCAAAUAUGGCGUCGACGGUGCUGUCUGUUUUUCAGUGGAAUCGCAUAAACAUUACAUAUUGUAUUUUCAUGUAGCACUUGUGAUUCUGUUAUCAAUAGCGGGCUGUACAGGAAUUACUUUCUAUGUGAAGAUUGGACAGAAAAUGUUAAAACUGAAGAAGAAAUCAAACAGAACGCUGACAAGUUCGACAGCGAUGCAGACACACAAAAAACAAGAAACACUUCCAGGAACCAUUGAAGAAACAACGAUUGAGGAAUCAAAGAUUUCUAUCGUUGUGAGUGACGACGACGAAUCGUUCUGUACUGUUCAAGACUUAGCGGCUGAUAAUU